ensembl:snoRNA small nucleolar RNA SNORA38
CCCUCCUGCAAAGGCCUGUCUGUAGUUCCCUGUCUUCGGACAUAAGAAUUAGAGGCAAAGAAAUUGGACUUGGGGGUGUGGAGCCAGCUUGCUCCUGCAGGCUCAAGACCAACCAUCCCACCCAG